rnacentral:rRNA from 1 species
AUUGAACGCUGGCGGCACGCCUUACACAUGCAAGUCGAACGGUAACAGGUCUUCGGAUGCUGACGAGUGGCGAACGGGUGAGUAAUACAUCGGAACGUGCCUAGUAGUGGGGGAUAACUACUCGAAAGAGUGGCUAAUACCGCAUGAGAUCUACGGAUGAAAGCAGGGGAUCGCAAGACCUUGCGCUACUAGAGCGGCCGAUGGCAGAUUAGGUAGUUGGUGGGAUAAAAGCUUACCAAGCCGACGAUCUGUAGCUGGUCUGAGAGGACGGUCAGCCACACUGGGACUGAGACACGGCCCAGACUCCUACGGGAGGCAGCAGUGGGGAAUUUUGGACAAUGGGCGCAAGCCUGAUCCAGCAAUGCCGCGUGCAGGAUGAAGGCCUUCGGGUUGUAAACUGCUUUUGUACGGAACGAAAAGCCCUGGGUUAAUACCCUGGGGUCAUGACGGUACCGUAAGAAUAAGCACCGGCUAACUACGUGCCAGCAGCCGCGGUAA